UACGGGGGGAGCAAGCGUUGUUCGGAUUUACUGGGCGUAAAGGGCGCGUAGGCGGCGCAACAAGUCACUUGUGAAAUCUCCGGGCUUAACCCGGAGCGGCCAAGUGAUACUGUCGUGCUAGAGUGCGGAAGGGGCUACUGGAAUUCUCGGUGUAGCGGUGAAAUGCGUAGAUAUCAGGAAGAACACCCGUGGCUAAGGCGGUUCUCUAGUACGGUACUGACGCUGAGACGCGAAAGCGUGGGGAGCGAACAGG
rnacentral:rRNA from 1 species